rnacentral:lncRNA from 1 species
CCUCCAGGCCAUCCUAUCAAAAACCUGCUCAGGGAUUUAGCUCAGUGGUUCUGCAGCCUGCCUCACAAGCACAAGGUCCCAAGUUCAGAUCCCCAGUACCAAAAAAAACACCAACAACAAAGAAAUCUGCUCAAGACAGGGUCUUGUUUUGUAGUUCAGCCUGGCCUUGAACUCACUAUGCAGCCCAGGUGGCCUUGAACUCAUGGCGAUCCCCUGCAUCAGCCUCAGGAGUGCUGGGAUUCUAGACUCUACCCAAUUUCUACUCCCCCCUCCCCUUUUUGCAGUUCUGGGGAUCGAACCCAGGGCUUCAUGAAUGGCAGGUGAGCAUUCUAGUACUAUCCACCCUUUUUGAAUUGCACUUUGAUUUUCUUUUUGGUACCAGGGUUCGAACUCAGGACGUUGCGUUUUCG